rnacentral:rRNA from 1 species
UACAGAGGUCUCAAGCGUUGUUCGGAUUCAUUGGGCGUAAAGGGUGCGUAGGUGGCGGGGUAAGUCAGGUGUGAAAUUUCGGAGCUCAACUCCGAAACUGCAUUUGAUACUGCCUUGCUUGAGAACUGGAGAGGAGACUGGAAUUCACGGUGUAGCAGUGAAAUGCGUAGAUAUCGUGAGGAAGACCAGUGGCGAAGGCGGGUCUCUGGACAGUUCCUGACACUGAGACACGAGGGCCAGGGGAGCAAACGGG